AUGGAGGAUCACCGGCCUCUCACAUCACCAGUUAAGGAAGAGAUGAGAACACAGGAGAGAUGUCCCAGCCCUCUUCUUCUACAGAAUGGUUCAGAAGAACAUCACUAUGUCCCACAGGAUCAUCAGCUUGUGAAUCUGGGUGAAGAUCUGAACAAUAUUAAUCCU